GCCAAAUACGCAUUCCCAUGAGCAACUUAUCAAUCUAAUAGAAGCCCAAAUCAAUACACAAAUCCAAGGCCAUGCAACUAUCCAAGCUGAAGCAGUUUCCUGUCAAAGCCCAAACUUGAAAACCAAUACUUCCUAAUUCAGCUAGAGCUCAGUUGGGUAGGUAGCCUAUUAGACCUAAGCCCAUCAAAAAAUUAAAUACAAUAAAAUAAAGAAGCAUUAAAAGCAAAGGUGCUUGAACAAGUCUACGUUGAGCAUCAAAUACUACCAGUCGGACCAGCCACAAACCAUAAAGAUAUUACAACUGUUUUAGAAUGUUCCCCACUAAAUUCCACAAAAAUAUCUUCAUCGCCUACGAGAUAUUUUCCACCUACGUAUUUCCUUGUUUGCCUGAACCACGCAAAUGCAUACGCCACACCACGUAAACAAUCCAUAACCAAUAAAAUUUUUUUCGCAUAUAAAACUUAAAAAGAGUAUAAUAACAAAACCGUUCUGAGCUCUAAAUUUGUCCAAUUUUAUGUUAAAAUAUUACACCCAGCUACCUGCCUGCCUAACUUCUUUCUAUGCUUUUCUCAACAAGCUAAAAACUUCAACCCAGCCACCAGUGUUUUACAAUGCUAUUUCAUCAAAUUUUACCGCUCGUUUUCCCUGCACAAGAAAAUAGAGACUUUUCUCCUUUUCUCAGACGACGACGUUUGCAGUUUCAACCUUCUUUUCUUUGGCCGCUCAUAUUUACAGUUCCACCACCGUCUAGGGGUAGUGCAACUUUUCAGUCUUCACAAAGGACAAACGGCGGCGACUAUUCACUUUCCACGUAAGGCAAAUACAACUUCCAGAAGGAACUAGAAUGAAUCGUCCCACAAAUGACGCGUGUCUUUCCGCCACCUUCUCAUCUCACUCUCAUCGCAAUCGUUUUCUGUGGUAGCCACAUCUUACGUCACCACCCACUGUCCAUCUCCAAGCUCUCAUCAGAUAAUAAAUAUCCAAUCACCAAUCACAAAUAUUAAUCAUCAUUUCCCCAGCUCUAGCCACAACGGGUCGUCAUGCUCACUGUGCCCAGUCUUUCCAUCCAACGGCUCUGAUUUUACGUCGCACACAGGCUCAUCCUCCUGUGAUUGUUGUUGAUACUUACUCCCUUCUUGUUCCUCUUCCUCCUCCUCACCCCUUCUCACGCGCUUAACCCCAAUCGACACACCAAACAGCUUUGGGCUUACUCCCUCCUCUGCCGUCGCCGUCACAACUGCCUUUGUGCCACCACUAAUGGCCAUCUCAUCCGCCCGCGUCACCACCUUCGUCGAAGGCAACAAAUCUAAAGGCUUCCCCUCCGGCAAAUUGCUAUGACCAUCCAAUUGACCAGAGGCGUAAUUAGUCAUCAAUGCAACUAUAUUAUUACACAAGCCCUUCAACUGAGUUAACUCCUCUCUCAACUGCGCAUUUUCUUUCCUCAACCUCUCGUUCUCUUCCAGAAGCUCCGGUGUCGUAGUACAGUUUGUUGUUUGGAGAUUCGGAGUAGCACCCUGUGUUGUCGCCGGCGACGAAUUCGAUGAAAUUACUUGCUCGUCGGCCGAAUUCGCAGGGGAAACCACACGUGCCACCGGCGGAAUUGCGGCAACGGUUACCGUAGCUGCAGCUGCUGCCGUAACCCCUGUCGGAGAGAUUUUCCGCCGCUGAAUAUCGCGAAGUAAUCCUUUCUCUCCUUUCUUGAAGCAAUCGUUCGCAAAUUCCCAUCGAUCCGGCACUACCUUUCUAAAUCCCUACAGAAUGAAUCAAAAUAUAUAAGCAGAUGAAACAAUAUCCUUAAAACAGCAGGCACGUCAAUAAAAUCCAACACCAAUUUUAUUCAUUUCUUAAAGAGAGAAAUCGUAUAUUGAGAAAGAGACUCACGUAGGUGUUGAGCUGGCGAACAAAGCUAGAGAAGUUGUUGUGUUUGAAGUACUUGGGGAGUAAGUCCCUUGCGAAUUCAGCGGGGCGCCAGACGAUGAAGGUCGAUCCGUCCUCGUUCCACGAAAUCAGGUCAUCGACGGAAGGAUCAUCGACAAGCUGAUAAGUUUUGGUGAGAAAUGGAGUUGGGAGAGAUCUCUGAGAGUCUCCUCCCGCUCCUCCGGUGGCGUGUGAUUCGCCGGUUUGUUCCACCAGCAAUGGCAUCAGGGUUCGGUCUUAGAUCCGAACCAUAAAAAACAGGCAGCUAUUCGUGACAGAUUCUUUGGCGUGCCGGGUUGAACUAAGUUAUCAAACUCAUAUAUCAGAUCCAACAAAAUAACUGAAAUUGAAAAAUGAAAACACAUAUGAUAUAAAAAUAAUAACCAUCCGUUUGCGUUCCAAGAAAACCAAAGAAAAGUUAAAUCAUUAAAAGGAACCGAGAAAAUCUACUUAAGCGAAUCAAAUUUAACAGCUAAACUUAAUUCGCAGAUGCGUUACGCGUUAAACGUAAACUGAAACAGCCUAGAAGAAUAACAGUUAAAUUAGGAACUCUUAACAAAGAAAAAAAAAAUCAUACCUGAAAGAAAACAAUCACGAAUUCUUUCUGCUGACAAUAAAAGGUGAGAUUUUCUCAGCAAACAAACAAACAAAGAGACAGAACCACGUGUGUUACUAAACUGUAAGCCCUAGCUACCACCCGCCACCGAGCAAAGGGCCAUCGCCUUACACAGAGCGACGCAGCAUGUUGAUCUCGCAAUAUUCACAGGAGAAAGAGAGAAAAAAGAGUUAGGUUUUGUUGUUUCUGGAAGCUUCUGGUUGGAGUAAAAUGAUAAGGCGAGAGAAAGAGAAAUCGUGAGUUCCAGAAGGAAAGGGAAAUAAAAAGAAAUCUUUUUUAAAACAAAGAAUUAGAAAAGGGCAAAUGGAUAGGACCCACACACAUCGAGAAAAGAGAGGAAGGCACAAGAAGAGUUUAGGACCCUUCUCCGAUUGAGAUUAUGAAAAUAAAUAAUAUUAUUAAAAAUAAUUUUCCAAUAACUAUUUUAAUAAUAAUAUCAAAUACAACGAGAAGACAUCGUUUUUAAGGUUGGAUUUUUAAGAAAUACUA
rnacentral:misc_RNA from 1 species